AUACGGAAGGUGCAAGCGUUACUCGGAAUCACUAGGCGUAAAGCGCGCGUAGGCGGUCUUUUAAGUUGGAUGUGAAAGCCUACAGCUCAACUGUAGAACUGCAUCCAAAACUAUUAGACUAGAGUCUGGGAGGGGAAGAUGGAAUUAGUUGUGUAGGGGUAAAAUCCGUAGAGAUAACUAGGAAUACCAAAAGCGAAGGCGAUCUUCUGGAACAGUACUGACGCUGAGGCGCGAAAGCGUGGGGAGCAAACAGGAUUAGAAACCCGGGUAGUCC
rnacentral:rRNA from 1 species